CUCUGCUUCUUGAUUCUCACCAUGAUUAUGCAACUCACUCACACUAAGCAGCACCUUCAAUUCACAUUUACAUUUAUGUUCAAAGCAUUCUGCCUCUUCCCUCAUCUUCCCUUCUUGUGCCAGCUAUUUGAUAAAAUCUGUGUCUACUGUACCUCGUUUUUCAGUUUAUUCAAUCAGAAUUCCCUCCCUGGUCAGUUACUGUUGACAUUAAGGUAAAACGUGUCCCCUCAGCACAGAAACCAGGCCCUUCAUGGGCCUUUCCUCAGGUAAACUUCCCCCCUCUUGUCCCCGUGAUGAGGAGAAAGGAGAACAGAAAACAGUUAAAGGUAUUCAAGACAUGGAGCCCUCCAGAACAGAUGGAAGAACCAUUGGCAACAGAGGUAAUUGCUUGACUCAUGGUAUAAAGAUACCUACUGUGGGAAUAGCAAAUGGGAAGCUCACCCAUGUAACUGGAAACCUCACAAGGCAAUAACUGAGUAACAAGUUUUAGUUACUUUGUAUUGCUAUUGCAAGACAUCACUGCCAGAGCAACUUAAAAAGAAAGCAUUAAAUUGGACUCACGUUUUGUUUCCUGGGGUUGGAGAUCAGGACAGCAGCAGGCACAGCAGAGAGCUCCCUUCUUGAUCUGGAAGCACGAAGCAGAGUGCGCACUAGGAGCAGCAACUGUUCAAAGUCCACCUCAGAGACACCUCCUCCAACAAGGCCAUAUAUCCUAAUGCUUUCCUCACAUUUCCACCAAAGGGGACCAAGGAUUCAAGCAUGUGAGUCUAUGAGGCCAUUCUCAUCCAAAGGCCACCAAUGCUGUCAAACUCCAGCAAGACUGUUUCAGCAGAGCCACCCUGGUCAUUUCUGUCAGUGUUUUAAGAGCCUUCUUUGAGAUUACUUUGCUUUCUCUCCCACUUGGGCUACUCUAGUCAUUUCUGAUGGGUAGUGUAAGGCCCUGGUUUGAUGAUGUUUCUUUGUCUAUAUGCCACUUCUCCAUGCCUGCUAUUUUUUAUUUGUAAGUUUACUUUUGCUAGCUAUAUAUUCAAUAAAAACCAAUCAUUCAAUA